rnacentral:rRNA from 1 species
GACGUAGGUGGCGAACGUUAUCCGGAAUUAUUGGGCGUAAAGGAUGCGUAGAUGGUGUAGUAAGUUAUCGGUGGUAAAUCGAGGCUCAACCUCGUGGAAGUCGGUAAUACUGCUAUGCUAGAGGAUAGGAGAGGUUAACGGAACUCCCUGUGGAGCGGUGAAAUGCGUAGAUAUCGGAAGGAACGCCGGUGGCGAAAGCGACGUGCUGGACCUCUUCUGACGCUGAGGCGCGAAAGCCAGGGGAGCGAACGGG